CAAAAAAAAAGAGUGAUUAAACACGAGGACUUUCCUGGAGGUCACCCAUCCUAGUACUACUCUCGCCCAAGCACUCUUAACUGCGAAGUUCUGAUGGGAUCUGGUGCAUUAGUGCUGGUAUGAACGCAUCUGUUACUACAUGCAAUGCAAUCGUAUGUAUUCUUUUUUGAAGAUUUUAUGAUUCAUUUACCGUGGGUCCCACCAGCUAUGUAGGAAUAACCUAUCUUAUUUAUAAAAGCUUUGAUACAUGCAAAAUAUUCGAAAACAAUGUCCGAACAUAUAAUGUUCGCCCCAAAAUAUAGCAAAGACCACAAAAAUGCCAUAAAAAGUACAUUAAGGUCAAAAUUUGGAGUAGGAAAAAAAUCAAUAGGAGAAUUCCAUUUUCCUUCCCUCAUUCAUCGGAGAGCUCUCUUUGGGCAUUCCAAAAAGGUAUCACAUGCCAAGUUUGGCCUCACGGUCUAAAAGUUAUAGAGUAUUACAUUUUUAACAAAAAAAAAAAGAGAAAAACCGAAAAAAAGAGGGAUGCAACACGAAGACUUUUCUGGAGGUCACCCAUCCUAGUACUACUCUCCCCCAAGCACGCUUAACUGUGGUGUUCUGAUAGGAUCAAGUGCAUUAGUGCUGGUAUGAUCGCAUCAGUUACUACAUGCAAUGCAAUCAUAUAUAUUCUUUUUUGAAGACUUUAUGAUCCAUUUGCCGUAGGUCCCACCAGCUAUGUAGGAAUACCCUAUCUUGUUUAUAAGAGCUUUGAUACAUGCAAAAUAUUCGAAAACAAUGUCCGAACAUAUAAUUUUUGUCCCGUAAUAUAGCAAAGAUCACGAAAAGGUCAGAAAAAAUAUAUUUCGGUCAAAAUUUGGAGUAGAAAAAAAGCCCUUCCUCAUUCAUUGGACAGCUCUCUUUGGGCUUUCCGAAAAGGUAUCACAUGCCAAGUUUGGCCUCACGGUCUAAACCUUAUAGACUCAUACAUUUUUCAUAAAAAAAAGAAGAGAAAAACAA
rnacentral:sRNA from 1 species